GGCCAAGUGCCUGUGGUUGCGGAGGCCAGAAGGGGAUCACCAGUCAUCCAAAGCCAGCCCUCUCAUCGGUCCCACCCAAACCAAAGGGAGCGGGGAUGUUGUUGCUAUGGAGACCGUCCUGAGGAGUCAGGCCAAGGUGUCUUUUGUAUUUGAAGAAGGUAGCAGUGAUGGUGAACUUCACAACAAAGUGCAUGAGUGACUGAAGAAAUCAAAUGGAACCUACAAUCCUGGACAGGUUGGGCAUAUAAAAAGGAACAACAUCAUCUUCUAUGUGUGCAUCUGCUGUUCACUGAAAACCCAGUGGUCUUCUCCCUUCGUUGGUGUCAGUGGAGUGACUGGG